UGUUGCCACGAAGAGACAGGGUUCGAUCAGUAGCCUAAAAGAGAGAGGUACAGUAUCGAUUUGAUCCAAAGAGACAUAAAAAGAGAGGGAUAGAGAGAGGGCCAGGAGUUUGCAUGACCGGCGAUUUCAGCUGUUUUGGCGCAGAGAUUUUGGCUGUCGUUUGCUGACGAGUUGUUUACUAUUUGGUUGGAGCGCAAGAAUUCUUUAGCUGGAAAAGUAGGAUUGUUCGAGGUUCAAUCUUCUCAGGAGUAUUUGGUUGGGAACAAACAAAGAAAGGAAGUA